rnacentral:rRNA from 1 species
UACGUAGGUGGCGAGCGUUGUCCGGAAUUACUGGGUGUAAAGGGCGUGUAGGCGGGUGAUUAAGUCAGAUGUGAAAUACCCAGGCUUAACUUGGGGGCUGCAUCUGAAACUAAUUAUCUUGAGUGCUGGAGAGGAAAGCGGAAUUCCCAGUGUAGCAGUGAAAUGCGUAGAUAUUGGGAGGAACACCAGUGGCGAAGGCGGCUUUCUGGACAGUAACUGACGCUGAGGCGCGAAAGCGUGGGAAGCAAACAGG